rnacentral:rRNA from 1 species
UUGGGCCUACGGGACGCAGCAGUGGGGAAUAUUGCACAAUGGGGGAAACCCUGAUGCAGCGACGCCGCGUGAGUGAAGAAGUAUUUCGGUAUGUAAAGCUCUAUCAGCAGGGAAGAAAAUGACGGUACCUGACUAAGAAGCCCCGGCUAACUACGUGCCAGCAGCCGCGGUAAUACGUAGGGGGCAAGCGUUAUCCGGAUUUACUGGGUGUAAAGGGAGCGUAGACGGCGUGCCAAGUCUGAUGUGAAAGGCCGAGGCUCAACCCCGGGACUGCAUUGGAAACUGGCAUGCUGGAGUGCCGGAGG